rnacentral:tRNA from 1 species
GCUUUCGCGGUGUAACGGUAGCACUCUUGGCAUGUAUUCGAGAGGUUCAGGUUCGAGUCCCGACGAGGGCA